AUCAGUUGAGCUUUCUAGAGUGUUCUUGCUGUUUUCUUUUCUUUAAAUUUUUUUUUUAGACCUUUUUUUUGUCUAAUUAUUUAUUCAAUUCUUCUUUCUUUUUCUCUUUUUUCAACAAGGCAGUGGUGGUAGUGAAUUCUAUUGAUGUCUCCAACAACGAUCCUAGAUCAGCAAGGCGAUGAAGGAAAUUAUAUUUAUUUGCUUAUGUUAAUUUUUUUGGGGUAUAUUUAUCUGUUUGUUGAUUUAUUUUUUAUUUUUUAUAUUUAUUUGUUUGUUGUCCAGAGAAUCGUAUGCUUCGUUGUUUCAAAGUAUGGUUUGGUUUUGUGAGUUUAAAUCCUUAAAAGCCAUUGAAGCCUCAAUGGAACUUAUGUCGGUCAGACCCUUUUAGAUCCAAUAUCCUUUCAGAUUGAAGGAAAAGCUCCAUUCAGCCUCCAUGUAGAAAAGGGAAAGAAUAGUGUCCUGCCUUUAAUCCUCAUAGAAGAACCAUCCUAAAAUUCCUAAUCUCUAAACUUCAGUUACAACAGAAAAUAAUUGUGAAAGGCUGGUUAGAACUAUUGGGGUGCAUUUGAUAUUGAAGAUAAAGCCACUGAAAUUUGAUGUGAGCCCAAAUCAAGUGACAAGAAAACAAUAUCAAAAGUGAAAUGAAAGAAGGUCAAAGCAAUCUUUGAGGUCCAUUUCUUUUUCUAUUGUGUCAGGUAUAUUUUCGGUCUUCAUUAUAUAUGCUUCAAUUCAUUUUGCAACAAAAUAAAAAAUUGUUUUAGGAUUUAUAAAAACUUAUUAUUUAUAGAUUAAGUUGUUCCUUUUUUGGCCCCUAUUAUUAGGUGGCUUCAAAACUUUGUUUAUUCCAUCCUUUUGAAAACUUCGAUUGUUGAAUGUCUAAUUUUAUUUCAUUUGUUUCAAUUGUUGAAUUUUAAAUGUAGUAUUUGACUUCCUCUUGAAAAUUUAUC